GAGUUUGAUCCUGGCUCAGGAUGAACGCUGGCGGCGUGCUUAACACAUGCAAGUCGAACGAAGCGCCUUAUUUGAUUUUCUUCGGAACUGAAGAUUUGGUGACUGAGUGGCGGACGGGCGAGUAACGCGUGGGUAACCUGCCCUGUACAGGGGGAGUAACAAUCAGAAAUAGACUGCUAAUAACCGCCAUAAGACCACAGCACCGCAUGGUGCAGGGGUAAAAACGUACCGGUGGUACAGGAUGGACCCGCGUCUGAUUAGCUGGUUGGUGAGGUAACGGCUCACCAAGGCGACGAUCAGUAGCCGGCUUGAGAGAGUGAACGGCCACAUUGGGACGUGA
rnacentral:rRNA from 1 species